GACAGAGGAUGCAAGCGUUAUCCGGAAUGAUUGGGCGUAAAGCGUCUGUAGGUGGCUUUUUAAGUCCGCCGUCAAAUCCCAGGGCUCAACUCUGGACAGGCGGUGGAAACUACCAAGCUGGAGUACGGAAGAGGCGAGUGGAAUUCCCGGUGUGAGCGGUGAAAUGCGCAGAUAUCGGGAGGAACACCGGUGGCGAAGGCGGUUCUCUGGGCCUUACCUGACGCUGAGGAGCGAAAGCGUGGGGAGCGAACAGG
rnacentral:rRNA from 1 species